rnacentral:rRNA from 1 species
CUACGGGGUGCAGCAGUGAGGAAUUUUGCGCAAUGGGGGCAACCCUGACGCAGCAACGCCGCGUGAGUGAAGGAGGCCUUUGGGUCGUAAAGCUCUGUCAACUGGGAAGAAGUUACAAUUAUCCAAUAGGUAGUUGUAUUGACGGUACCAGUGGAGGAAGCGCCGGCUAACUCCGUGCCAGCAGCCGCGGUAACACGGGGGGCGCAAGCGUUAUUCGGAAUUAUUGGGCGUAAAGGGCGCGCAGGCGGUUUUGUCAGUCAGAUGUGAAAGCCCGGGGCUCAACCCCGGACGUGCAUUUGAAACAGCAAGACUUGAGUACGGGAGAGGAAAGCGGAAUUCCUGGUGUAGAGGUGAAAUUCGUAGAUAUCAGGAGGAACACCGAUGGCGAAGGCAGCUUUCUGGACCGAUACUGACGCUGAGGCGCGAAGGCGUGGGUAGCGAACGGGAUUAGAUACCCCGGUAGUC